rnacentral:RNase_P_RNA from 1 species
AGUAAGUCAGACAAUCGCCGCUUAGAAAUAAGGGGAGGAAAGUCCGGGCUUCAUAGAGCAGGAUGCUGGUUAAUGGCCAGUGGGGGUGACCCUAAGGAUAGUGCAACAGAAAUAAACCGCCUAGCAUGCUAGGUAAGGAUGGAACGGUGCGGUAAGAGCGCACCAGUAUAGUGGUGACAUUAUAGCUAUGUAAACCCCAUUUGAAGCAAGACCGAAUAGGAAAACAUUUAGGAGUAGCUCGCUCUGUUUUCGGGUGUGUCGCUAGAGGCUAUUGGCAACAAUAGUCGUAGAUAGAUGAUUGUCUAAUACAGGACCCGGCUUAUAGAUUUGGU